rnacentral:lncRNA from 1 species
UGGUCAAUCGUUCGCUUACCGCGUGUGUUCACAAAGUGCCGGUCCGGACCCCAACCUCCCCUAUUUAUUUUCUCGUUUCACUCCCACUCGUUCCGGUUAACGGUGCAUCUCUUCGUGGGCCCUGUGCACUCUCUCUCACCGUUGCUCCCGCUCUCCUAACGGUUGUUGCCCUCAUCGUGCCGGUCUGUGUUUUGUUGCCUCGCAUACAUCGAUUCUUUUGGUUUAAACUAAUUUGUUAUUAUUGUGCUGGGUUUUGUGGUUUGAACCAAUCCUUCCCCCUACAUACUUCUUAAAUGCUUAUUUUAUUGUGAAUUCUAUUCGGUUAUACUAGCACUACUGACGACCCGCGGUUACUUGUUCGUAAGUGCGCCCAGGAGUGGAUUUCCGGACCGGUGCCCCUCCGCUGGCCUUCAUAGACUGGUGAGUGUGUCCUUUGAAUGUGUGACAGUGUGUUUUAACCCUCCCUUUUCCUGCUUGUUUUGCCGCUUACUGCCGUUGUGAAGUUUAUCUGUGAAUCCUUGUAUGUACGCGUGCCAGGAAGUGGACCUGCGGAUCGACGCUUCUCCUCAUGGACAGAUGAGUGUGUUUUGGACGUGCGAGUGAAUGCUUUACACCCUCUUUUCCGGCCUGUUUUGCUGUCCCUUUGCUGCUGUUCGGUUCCCCCCGGCCUGGUAAGUUUUGAGUAUAGUGGACGCCUCCUCACUAAUACUUUAUCUUCCAGAUCGCCUC